rnacentral:ncRNA from 1 species
UCAUAUGCUUGUCUCAAAGAUAAGCCAUGCAUGUCUAAGUAUAAGCAAUCUAUACGGUGAAACUGCGAAUGGCUCAUAAAUCAGUUAUCGUUUAUUGAUAGUACCUUACUACAUGGAUACCUGUGGUAAUUCUAGAGCUAAUACAUGCUAAAAACCUCGACUUCGGAAGGGGUGUAUUUAUUAGAUAAAAAACCAAUGCCCUUCGGGGCUCCUUGGUGAAUCAUAAUAACUUAACGAAUCGCAUGGCCUUGCGCCGGCGAUGGUUCAUUCAAAUUUCUGCCCUAUCAACUUUCGAUGGUAGGAUAGUGGCCUACCAUGGUGGCAACGGGUAACGGGGAAUUAGGGUUCGAUUCCGGAGAGGGAGCCUGAGAAACGGCUACCACAUCCAAGGAAGGCAGCAGGCGCGCAAAUUACCCAAUCCCGAUACGGGGAGGUAGUGACAAUAAAUACUGAUACGGGGCUCUUUUGGGUCUCGUAAUUGGAAUGAGUACAAUUUAAAUACCUUAACGAGGAACAAUUGGAGGGCAAGUCUGGUGCCAGCAGCCGCGGUAAUUCCAGCUCCAAUAGCGUAUAUUAAAGUUGUUGCAGUUAAAAAGCUCGUAGUUGAACCUUGGGUCUGGCUGGCCGGUCCGCCUCACCGCGAGUACUGGUCCGGCUGGACCUUUCCUUCUGGGGAACCUCAUGGCCUUCACUGGCUGUGGGGGGAACCAGGACUUUUACUGUGAAAAAAUUAGAGUGUUCAAAGCAGGCCUUUGCUCGAAUACAUUAGCAUGGAAUAAUAGAAUAGGACGUGCGGUUCUAUUUUGUUGGUUUCUAGGACCGCCGUAAUGAUUAAUAGGGAUAGUCGGGGGCGUCAGUAUUCAGCUGUCAGAGGUGAAAUUCUUGGAUUUGCUGAAGACUAACUACUGCGAAAGCAUUCGCCAAGGAUGUUUUCAUUAAUCAGGGAACGAAAGUUAGGGGAUCGAAGACGAUCAGAUACCGUCGUAGUCUUAACCAUAAACUAUGCCGACUAGGGAUCGGGCGGUGUUUCUAUGAUGACCCG